CAGUAGCCACGGGAAUACGGAGGGAGCUAGCGUUGUUCGGAAUUACUGGGCGUAAAGCGCGCGUAGGCGGUUACACAAGUCAGAGGUGAAAGCCCGGGGCUCAACCCCGGAACUGCCUUUGAAACUAGGUGACUAGAAUCUUGGAGAGGUCAGUGGAAUUCCGAGUGUAGAGGUGAAAUUCGUAGAUAUUCGGAAGAACACCAGUGGCGAAGGCGACUGACUGGACAAGUAUUGACGCUGAGGUGCGAAAGCGUGGGGAGCAAACAGGAUUAGAUACCCGAGUAGUCCCUGUCUCUUUACA
rnacentral:rRNA from 1 species